UACGAAGGGGGCUAGCGUUGUUCGGAUUUACUGGGCGUAAAGCGCACGUAGGCGGUUUGUUAAGUCAGGGGUGAAAUCCCGGAGCUCAGCUCCGGAACUGCCUUUGAUACUGGCAAGCUAGAGUCCGGAAGAGGUAAGUGGAACUCCUAGUGUAGAGGUGGAAUUCGUAGAUAUUAGGAAGAACACCAGUGGCGAAGGCGGCUUACUGGUCCGGAACUGACGCUGAGGUGCGAAAGCGUGGGGAGCAAACAGG
rnacentral:rRNA from 1 species